CUUUCCCUCUUUCUUCCUGCUUUACACAUGCAAGUCGAGCGGUAACAGGCCGCAAGGUGCUGACGAGUGGCGAACGGGUGAGUAAUGCAUCGGAACGUGCCCAGCCGUGGGGGAUAACUACUCGAAAGAGUAGCUAAUACCGCAUACGAUCUAUGGAUGAAAGCGGGGGACCGUAAGGCCUCGCGCGAUUGGAGCGGCCGAUGUCAGAUUAGGUAGUUGGUGGGGUAAAGGCUCACCAAGCCAACGAUCUGUAGCUGGUCUGAGAGGACGACCAGCCACACUGGGACUGAGACACGGCCCAGACUCCUACGGGAGGCAGCAGUGGGGAAUUUUGGACAAUGGGCGCAAGCCUGAUCCAGCAAUGCCGCGUGCAGGAAGAAGGCCUUCGGGUUGUAAACUGCUUUUGUACGGAACGAAACGGCUCUGGUUAAUACCCGGGGCUAAUGACGGUACCGUAAGAAUAAGCACCGGCUAACUACGUG
rnacentral:rRNA from 1 species